rnacentral:rRNA from 1 species
AGCGAACGCUGGCGGCAUGCCUAACACAUGCAAGUCGCACGGGUCGGCUUCGGCCGGGCAGUGGCGGACGGGGGAGGAACGCGGAGGGAUCUGUCAGCUGGUGGGGGAUAACCGCGGGAAACCGCGGCGAAGACCGCACGGGGCGCCGGUGUGAGAGCCGGCGGCAAGGGCGGGCAUCGCAAGGUGUGUGUGGCCGGGGGGUGAGCCUGCGUCCGCUUAGCGGGUGGGCGGGGUAGGGGCCCACCGAGGCGUCGGGCGGUAGCUGGUCUGAGAGGGAGCUCCGCCACACUUGGACUGCGACCCGGCCCAGACUCCUACGGGAGGCAGCAGUGGGGAAUAUUGGGCGAUGGGCGCAAGCCUGAUCCCGCCAUGCCGCGUGGGUGAAGCAGGUCUUCGGAUUGUACAGCCCUUUCGGCGGGGACGAUGGUGACGGUACCCGCAGAAGAAGCCCCGGCUAACUUCGUG